rfam:Schistosoma margrebowiei strain Zambia genome assembly, scaffold: SMRZ_contig0000024
GUCCAGCUGACGAGUCCUAAAUAAGACGAGACUCACAUCCUGGAU